GCCGUAGCUCAGUGGCAGAGCACCUGCUUUGCAUGCAGAAGGUUCCAGGUUCAAUCCCCGGCAUCUCCA